UCAGGACGAACGUUGGCGGCGUGCUUAACACAUGCAAGUCUGCGAGAAAGUUAUAGCAAUAUAGCGAGUAAAGCGGCGAAAGGGUGCGUAACGCGUAAGCAACUUGCCCAUAGGAUGGGGAUAACGUCGAGAAAUCGGCGCUAAUACCCAAUAAUGCAGCGGCAUCGCAUGAUGAUGUUGUUAAAGGUCGCUUCGGUGGCGCCUAUGGAUGGGCUUGCGUCUGAUUAGUUAGUUGGCGAGGUAACGGCUCACCAAGACGACGAUCAGUAGCUGGUCUGAGAGGAUGAUCAGCCACACUGGAACUGAGACACGGUCCAGACUCCUACGGGAGGCAGCAGUGAGGAAUAUUGGGCAAUGCCCGCAAGGGUGACCCAGCAACGCCGCGUGGAGGACGACAGCCGUAAGGUUGUAAACUCCUGUUCGGGGGGACGAAUAACCGUCGUUUGCAAAGGCGACGGCUUGACGGUACCCUCAGAGAAAGCCCCGGCUAACUACGUGCCAGCAGCCGCGGUAAUACGUAGGGGGCAAACGUUGCCCGGAUUUACUGGGUGUAAAGGGCGCGCAGGCGGGUCGGUCAGUCAGAGGUGAAAGCCCACAGCUUAACUGUGGAACUGCCUUUGAUACUGCCGAUCUUGAGUGCGGGAGAGAGAAGCGGAAUUCCAGGUGUAGUGGUGAAAUACGUAGAUAUCUGGAAGAACACCGGUUGCGAAGGCGGCUUCUUGGACCGACACUGACGCUGAGGCGCGAAAGCGUGGGGAGCGAACCAGGAUUAGAUACCCUGGUAGUCCACGCUGUAAACGAUGAAUGUCAGAUGUCGGGGGAUUUUUCCUU
rnacentral:rRNA from 1 species